AUGGCGCGGCGCGGCGGCGGCGGCGGCGGGAGGCGGAGCAAGGUGACGCCGAACCUGGGGGCGGACCGGGAGGGCACGCGGAUGCUCAACCUCACCGUGCUGCGGCGCCUCGACCCCGCCAUCGUCGACAUCCUCAUCACCGCCGCCAGCGUCACCGCCUACAGCUUCGACCAGGACACGGUCCGAUGGAGCCACAAGGGCGUGGAGGGGUCGCUCUUCGUCGUCAAGAGGAACACCCAACCCAGAUUCCAGUUUCUCAUCAUGAAUCGUCGAAAUACAGAAAAUCUGGUCGAGGACCUCCUGGGCGGUUUUGAUUACAAGGUGGAAGUUCCUUACAUAAUAUACACCAAUGCUGCAGCCGAAAUUAUUGGAAUAUGGUUCUAUGAGCCUGAGGAAUGUGAAGAAGUAGCACAUCUUUUCAGUAGGAUACGUAAAGCAUAUUCCAGGGCAUCCCCAGAGAAACUGGUUCCUUCAGUUAAAAGUUUCAGUGAUUGUGAAGAGCUGGAAGUAGCAUCUGAUGUUCCCUCAUCUGAAGAUACCCUAGAGCAGCCAACAACACCAUCUACAUUGGUACCUGGCGAUGUUGAAUUCAAGUUAUUGUCAGCUUUGUUAACAGCAGCUGCAUGUGUUGGAGCACCCACUGGUGGAGCAGGUCCAGUACAGCCAAAUCAACCUAUCAGGGCGGUUCCUUCAUCUAGGCGUGCAUCGCCAGCGCCUAGUGCUGUUUCAUCACAGCCUCCUGCCUCACAUAAUCUGCUUCCUGCUCCACGAGCGUCAGCAGCUACCGUGGUUCCCCAAGAUGCUCAUGUACCCACCAGCGCUCCUACCAUUCAGCCUGCUAGUCUUUCAAAACCACCAUUCUUUCCCCCCAUUGUUACCACAUCUUCGCAAGCAGCAACAGCUCAUGCUGCUUUUCCAUCUUCAGCUCCACCCCCAUUUCUUCCCCCCCUUUCCAUUCAGCACCGGCAGAGUGCUCCCUAUUUCCAGCCAUUCCCACUACCCUCUGCUCCUCCUCCAAUUGAUCCUCCGCACAGGCAAAGUGCUCCCUUGUCCCAGCCCUUCGCACAAUCCACUGCUCCUCCCCCACCUGAUCCUCAGCGCAGGGAAAGUGCUCCCUUGGCCCAGCCCUUUACACAAUCCACUGCUCCUCCUGCACUUGAUCCUCAGCAGAGGCAAAGUGCUGUCUUGCUCAAGCCCUUUCAACUAUCCUCUGCUCCCCCUCCACCUCGUCCUCAGCACUGGCAAAGGUCUCCUUCGCUCGAGCACUUUGCACGGCCCACUGAAUGCCUCCCUCCACCAUACGGUGCGCUGUUGCUUCAGCCAUUUCCACCACCUAAUCCUCCUCCUCCACUGCUUGCCCCAACAGCAUCGUAUGGCCCAGUGAUACUAUCAAGAGACAACCUGAGAGGUGCAUUGCUGAGGCUUGUGCAGAAUGAUGAUUUCAUCAACAUGUUCUACCGGGAGAUUGUAAAAGGGUAG
rnacentral:rRNA from 1 species